rnacentral:rRNA from 1 species
CCCUUAGAUGUCCUGGGCCGCACGCGUGCUACACUGAUGCAUACAGCGAGUACUUUCCAGCUCCGCGAGGCAGCUGGUAAUCAGCAAUAUGCAUCGUGCUGGGGAUAGAUCUUUGGAAUUAUAGAUCCUGAACGAGGAAUUCCUAGUAAGCGCAAGUCAUUAGCUUGCGCUGAUUAAGUCCCUGCCCUUUGUACACACCGCCCGUCGCUCCUACCGAUUUCGAGUGAUUCGGUGAACCUUUUGGACAGCGUCUGUCCUCGUGUCAGAUGCUGAAAGUCAAGUAAACCAUAUCACUUAGAGGAAGGAGAAGUCGUAACA